GUGGCAGGGUCCGCUGGGAGGAAGAGGCUCGCGCCUGGUCAUCCUAGAGCCAUGCACGAGGCUCCGUGGCUGGGUGGCGUCCAGUCCCUGGUUUUAUGGAGACCCUGAACUGCUCCGGCCACCUGGGGACCGGCAUGAGGGGCUCUGAAGCAGGGGUGUCCUUACAGGGCCAGCCCAACAUGGAGACCUGCUCCAAACCCAGGUGCAAGGCGGCGAAGGCGGCGGCGGCGGCCGGGUCCUGCAAGGAUGCAGCGUGAGGUCCUCCCGGGCACAGGCCCCGAGUGAGACGGGCCGGUCAGGGGAGAGCGCGAGGCGGGCAGCUGGCCUGCAGCAGGCCCAUGAACUGGGCCUGGGCGGGGCUGAGGAGUGAGCUGCGAGCUCUGACCUGGGCUGAGGUGUGGGCGCUGUGACAGGCCGUGACAGACGCUCCAGGCAGCAGAUCCUGUAGGAGGAGGUCCCCAAGCUUGUCCCCCGACUUGAUCCCCUGUCCCGGGUUCAGAGUGAAGCCCAGGACCCCAGGUGAUCAGCACUGCCACUGCCCAAGGCAACGUUUCCGGGUCUCUCUCUGGUGUGGAUCAGGUGUCCUUUGUCACUUGGAGGGAGCUGCCUGAGCGGUGACCUUCAGGGUGACCUGGCUGAGCUCACCAGGGGCAAGAGUCUUCUCCUUGUUCUCUCUGCCUUUGAACUUCAGCCUGGUCUUCCUGCUGACCCUUGGUGGGGACCUUGACUUCCCAAAGUAAGCUGUCCCAGAGGACCGCCCACAGCUGGGAGCAGGCUUUCUUCAAUUUUAAGAGUUACUGAUGGACCUCUAUUCAUUCAUUUGUGAGGCGCUAACCCUGACCCUGACCCAGGGCCGCCCACACCCCGCCCUGGAGAGCAGUGCUUAUCUGGAGAGAAUGGAUUGGGCUGUAGGGAAAGGGCGGUGUGCACAGGUUGGCUUACACAGAUCAUUGGUGAAAGAGAAAUGGGUGCCCUCCUGUUCCCACCCAGAUGUUGCUGGGUGCAGUCGGCUCUGGAGCACAGGAGGUCAGGUGAUGCGGGACUCCUCU
rnacentral:lncRNA from 1 species